AUUUUUCUUUCUUGUUUUUUCUUCUUCUUCUUU
rnacentral:sRNA from 1 species